AUAGCCCAUCCAACUACCUCACCCCAUACUGUAUUUAUUUAUUUAUCUUGCUCCUUUGCACCCCAGUAUCUCUACUUGCACAUUCAUCUUCUGCACAUCAAUCACUCUAGUGUUUAAUUUGUAUAUUGUAAUCACUUUGCCACCAUGGCCUAUUUAUUGCCCUACCUCCCUUAUCUUACCUCAUUUGCACACACUGUAUAUAGUCUUUUUCUACUGUAUUAUUGACUGUAUGUUUGUUUAUUCCAUGUGUAACUCUCUGUUGUUGUAUGUGUUGAACUGCUUUGCUUUAUUCUUGGCCAGGUCGCAGUUGUAAAUGAGAACUAGUUCUCAACUUGCCUACCUGGUUAAAUAAAGGUGAAAUAAAAAAAUAUUACCAUAAACUUUUUCUCUGCUAGCUAGUGUGCAUAUAGUGACGUAAUGCUAGUGGACGCAGCAUGUAAUGACUUAAUGCUAAUGGUUGUUGUACUGUUACAAGUACCCUCAAUGGCAGUGGGUACGGCGUGUAGUUACUGCAGUCCGCAGAUGGAUAUUAUUGCUUGAAAGGAGCUCACGUCUUCACUUUUCUGAGGAGAUAUUGUUCGUGUUUGUGGGUGCGUAGCCAGAUGUGAUCAGAGGAGCUGUGUGCCAUGGUGAAUGUCCCUUUUGAAGAGGCCAGAGUUUUGCAGUCAGAGAUGGAGAGUGCUAGCGAUAGUUCAGACGAGGAAAGUGAUCAUGAGGAAAAUGCCAGUGGCAUCUCAGGAUUUCUUUGUGAAAAAGCAUACCUUUUACCUAUAAUAAUAGCUAGCUAAAUGUACAUUGUUUUUAGGAAAAUGGCAAUGCUAAAAUACUGAAAUCUGCUGAACAUUCUACACUGAAUGAUGUAGCUAAUAUAUUUCAAAUUAUUGUAUCGAUAUAGGUUCUCUCAUUUGAAAUGUUUAAGACAACACGCAUCAAAGAGCAGAGCAAACAACGGCAGACCAAUCAAUUGCUACCAAUCAAGGGUUGGCAGGACAGAGCGCAACAGGAAGGUCAACAACAGAAGGGGAGGUGAAGAGAAAGCCAUGCAAUAUGGGACCAGUGUGUCAGAGGGAUGUCGAAGGUCCUCCAAGCGCUCCUGCGAUGCAAUCUGUGAUGAGGACAGAGAGAAGAUUUUCCAGUACUUCUGGCAAACGUUAGACUGGAAUGAGAGGAAAGUGUAUGUGUGUGGUUUUGUUGACUGUACUGCAGUGCAGCGAUGCAGGUCUGAGAAUAUGAGCCCUAGAAGGACAUCCACAUUGGCAUACCAUAUUGAAGUUUAUGGUGAGAAGAAGAGAGUAUGUGAACACUUGUUGGCUGAAUGGUCUGUGCUACACUGGGUGCAAGCGAAGGAGCUUGGGGAGACCAUCAGAUUAGCACCUGUGAGGAAUGAGGCACAAAACGAUGACAACAUUUCUGUGCGACUUACCGAUAGUACCAUCACACUACUGCACGUCAUCCUCCUCUAAGCAGUACCUGGAGCCUGUUUUCCAGUCCGUGUCAGAGCUACAGCUGUCAAUGUGAGGAGGAUGGGAAACUCCUCAGUCCCGCCAGGUGUUCACACUAACAUGAUUUCUUUGACUAUGACAGUUGAUAUUUGCACUGUUUGAUUAUUUAUUACUUACAUGAUUCUUACUGGAAUACCUACCUUGAUUUGAUGUUGAAUUCCUUGCUGAAAUGUGCCUUGAUGAUAUUUCCAUACUUGUAACAUGAUUGAUAGUGAAAUGUUGAUACUGACUGUUUUAAUACUUAUACUUUGAGUAAAAAAAUUCAACAUCA